rnacentral:rRNA from 1 species
GCCAUUUAAAGUGGUACGCGAGCUGGGUUUAGAACGUCGUGAGACAGUUCGGUCCCUAUCUGCCGUGGGCGCUGGAGAAUUGAGGGGGGCUGCUCCUAGUACGAGAGGACCGGAGUGGACGCAUCACUGGUGUUCGGGUUGUCAUGCCAAUGGCACUGCCCGGUAGCUAAAUGCGGAAGAGAUAAGUGCUGAAAGCAUCUAAGCACGAAACUUGCCCCGAGAUGAGUUCUCCCUGAGACUAUAAGUCUCCUGAAGGAACGUUAAAGACGAUGACGUUGAUAGGCCGGGUGUGUAAGCGCAGCGAUGCGUUGAGCUAACCGGUACUAAUGAACCGUGAGGCUUAACCUUACAACGCCGAAG